rnacentral:rRNA from 1 species
AUUGAACGCUGGCGGCAUGCCUUACACAUGCAAGUCGAACGGCAGCACGGGAGCUUGCUCCUGGUGGCGAGUGGCGAACGGGUGAGUAAUACAUCGGAACGUACCCUGAAGUGGGGGAUAACGUAGCGAAAGUUACGCUAAUACCGCAUAUUCUGUGAGCAGGAAAGAGGGGGGAUCGCAAGACCUCUUGCUUUAGGAGCGGCCGAUGUCGGAUUAGCUAGUUGGUGAGGUAAAGGCUCACCAAGGCGACGAUCCGUAGCGGGUCUGAGAGGAUGAUCCGCCACACUGGGACUGAGACACGGCCCAGACUCCUACGGGAGGCAGCAGUGGGGAAUUUUGGACAAUGGGCGCAAGCCUGAUCCAGCCAUGCCGCGUGAGUGAAGAAGGCCUUCGGGUU